CAGAAUUAAUUUCUUAAAGAAUAGAAAAGUGUCAUGAAGAAUAUGUACUUUACCAUGCCUAUCCGGACUUGCAUCUUUCUUUAGAACUUUGUGGCUUGGGAAGAUGCCUGGCUGUCUCAGUCCGUAGAAUAUGCGAUUUUUAAUCCUGGGCUUGUGAGUUCAAGCCCUGCAUUGAUUACUUAAAAAUUAAAAAAGAUUACUUAAAAAUGAAAAAAACCUUUAAAAACUUCGUGGUUUGGAAAGGAAAUGGAAAGGGAAACAGUAAGGAUGCUCCAGAACUGGAGAUUGGGUCUGAGAUAAAACAGCAGUACGCUAAAGGCAUCCCAGAUGCCAGAGGAGGCAGAACUCAGGCAGUUGCCAUAGCAGUAGUCAGCACUGAGCAAUUGAUCGCGUGAAAUGUGGGUGUUGCUAGAUGGAGGCUUUGAUAGGUGAAGAACCUUUGUGUUGGCGGUUAUGAAAACCUUGCAGGUAAGGAAGACUGUGAUUAAAUGAAGCAAUCUCAGAGUCUGAGAAAGGCAGGAUAUUGAUGCAUGGCUCUUAGGGAAAGAGAGCUCAUGGAAUCAAGGAUUUCACAUGGGACAAGUUUUAUUACUCGUUUGAGGUUCUAUACACACGUGGACAAAAUUUCAAAUAUUAAAGGACUCUGUAGUCAACACCGUUGGUGCCCACGCAGGUCUUCCGCCUGGCCAGCACACCCAUUCGAGGCUGCUGAGUCUUGGCUGUUAGGGCUCACAGCUGCAACCUUCUCCAGAGAAUUGCUCUUGGCCAAGUGGGAUCUGCUUCCCGGAGUGAUUGCCUCCCACCCCCAGGUGCAACCCACAGCCAAUAAUUGACCCAAUGCAUGGGUACAAAAAGCUGGCUCUUCUGCCUCAAGGUGGGAUCAAUACUUGGUGGCAAUUUGUGCUCCUGCUUCCACGGUGUGAACAGGUAGAGACAACAUCCUCGCUUAGCUACUUCUCCAGCUUUAUCCUGCUUUUCUUACUCCCUGACUCCUGGGAGCACUCCCUCAAUCAACCACAUGCAUACCAUUUCCUGUUUCAGUCUCUGCUUCCAGAGAAUUUGACCCCAAGCAGUAAUGUGGCUGACCCUUGUUCAACCCAAGUUUGAACUGUGAGGGUCCACUUAUACGUGAUAUAUAUAUAUAUUUUUUUGAAAAAUACAGUAGAGUACUGCAAAUGUAUUUUCUCUUCCUUAUGAUUUUCUUUCUUUCUUAAAAAGUAUUUUUGUUUUAGAGACAGAGACCGUGAGCAGAGACAGGAGCAGACGGACAGAGAGAAUCUAAAGCAGACUCCAUGCUCAGCACCGAGCCUCAAGUGGGGCUCAUUCCCACGACCUGGGAUCAUGACCUGAGCUGAAAUCAAGCUGGACACACUACCAACUGAGCCACCCAGGUACCCCCUUAUGAUUUUCUUAAUAGCUUUUUCUUAAUAGCUCUUUCUUAAUAG
rnacentral:lncRNA from 1 species